rnacentral:rRNA from 1 species
CCUACGGGUGGCAGCAGUGGGGAAUAUUGCGCAAUGGGCGAAAGCCUGACGCAGCGACGCCGCGUGAGGGAUGAAGGUCUUCGGAUCGUAAACCUCUGUCAGCAGGGAAGAACGGUCACUGUGCUAAUCAGCAGUGAAUUGACGGUACCUGCAAAGGAAGCACCGGCUAACUACGUGCCAGCAGCCGCGGUAAUACGGAGGGUGCGAGCGUUAAUCGGAAUUACUGGGCGUAAAGCGCUCGUAGGCGGUAUGUCAAGUCAAGGGUGAAAUCCCCGCGCUCAACGUGGGAACUGCCUUUGAAACUGGCAAACUGGAGUGUGUGAGAGGAUAGUGGAAGUCCAGGUGUAGGAGUGAAAUCCGUAGAUAUCUGGAGGAACAUCAGUGGCGAAGGCGACUAUCUGGAACGUAACUGACGCUGAGGAGCGAAAGCGUGGGUAGCAAACAGGAUUAGAUACCCCAGUAGUC